UUUUUUUAAAGAAAGAGAAAAGGUGGGUAGACUUUGUCCUUGAGCCUGUGGAGAUUGUGUCUUUAGCCCUUGGGAGUUUGCAGCUCAAAAGCCCGUGCCCUUCCCUGACAGAUGGCACCCGAUGCCAGCAGCACUGGACUUAGGGAGGCAGCCGAGUCCAAGAGCAAUGGAGACCUGGGCUGGAUGGAGGACAGGAGACGGGCGGAGGCAGUGGGGAGAGGUGGAGAGGGAGCAUGUGUCCUGUGCCCAGCGGAGCUAACAGAGCACCUGGACUUGGAUCUGAUGCGUUCCCAUCCUCUAACACAAGCUCUCACCACACCAAGGCAGCUCUGGCACGCCACCAGGGUGUCACACAGAAGACCAGAGUGUUUCAGACCUCUGUCUUUGAGGUGAGGAUGUGAGAGCCAAGGCCGAGUUCCAGCUGGCCAGAGGGAAUGAGGGGCGGGUUCUUGGGAGGGCAGCCGUGGCUGGGGACACGGAUUUGGAAGCAGAGGCUGACCGUGUGGUGAUGGGUGAUUGUGUGGGGGUGGGGCAGGGUAGACAGGGUUCUGAGGAGAGAGCAGGGGAGGCCUCUGGGAACACAGUGUUCUCAGGAAGCAGCAGUUCCUGUGGUGAAUCUUGGCUUCUUGCCCCCAACAAACUUCCUGAUUCUGGACUGCGUGGCCUCAGUGCUGCACCGUCCCCUGCCGCACCUCUGUGGAGACCUACUGUGUGUGGGCACUGUGCAGCCGGAGGCCCUGCCCGCCUCCCUUGGGGCAGAUACUGUGCUUCCUUGUGCAGAUGAGCACCCAGAGGACCUGAGGCCCUGCAGCCGGUGAGUCACAGGAGUGAGUCACCCUGCAUUGUGAGUGCAGAUGAUCCCAGGAGGAAGCAUCGGGCAGUGGGAAAAGUUGGCUUUUCAAAGCUGCUCUGGGCAUGUCUAACCACAGAGGGUUGUAGAUGGGAUGAGAAGGUAGCCUGAGGGGCUGUCACUCCAGCGUUCCCAUCUCAGGCAAUUCCACCAGGCACACGCGGAGAUGAGAGGGCUGUGACACAGAAGCUAAAAGCCUCAAUUACCCUUCGUGACAGGAACAGAGGACAUAUUUACGAAAAGAGAAGUUUUUGCCUCGUAAAUCACACUUGCGAGGAAUCAGGAAUCAGCGGAGCUGGUGACAGCCAGAGGCAGCCUCUGGGCGAGAGGGGAUCACCCGGCCUCACACCUGCUCAUUAAACCCAGACCGUGUCCUGAGAGAGCACCUGGGCGUCAGCCAGGGCCAGGAGCGGGCCAGGGCCGGCAGCAAGCAGGGCUGGAGCUCAGGUGCAUCCCGGGUUCCCAAUCUUGGGGGCUCAUAGCUAUCCACUGUGGAAGUGCAAGGCUUGGGGGGGCUUUAAAAGACCCUGUCACCUGGGUCCCACCCCCAGAGAUGGAUGAUGUCAUUGUCCUGGUGGAGCAUGGGAACUGGGAGCUUUAAAAGCCACCUGAAUGAUUCUGACAGACAGCCAAGGCUCAGCGCUCACGAGGCCUGACCCUGCCUGCCAAUCGAUGAAUCAAACAGCGAGCUUUUAGCAAGUGCAGCCUGGUAGGGGGCCCAGAAAUAGGCCAGCUUUCUAUCUGGGCUCCUGCACCACGUUGCUGACUCCCAUGCCCCACGGGCGACAAAGGCCCUGGAGGCGGCCUGCGCGCAGGACACGGUACCCGGGGAACAGCAGCUACUCCUGCUCGGGGCCCAGAGGCUGGAUCUAUUUUGGGGUUCCCACCCAUGCACGCCAACGCUGCCCGUCCAUGCAUGCGUCCUCUGGGUCCUGCUUUCUUGCUCCCCUGCCCUUCACAGACGUUCCGGCUGCCUUCGCUGGCCGCCUCAGGCGCGCAGUGGGCACCAGCAUGGCGCUGGGCGGGGGGCUCACACGAAGCAGGGGCUCAGGAGUCAACCAAGCUCCCCCAGCACAGAGCGCCCCUUACCUCUUCCCCAGGGGAAUCCAUCCGCGUGGUGAGCGGCCCCGGAGGGUGCGAGCAGAGACUCAGAAGGGCCUCGUGUUCUUUCCCUGGCGUUGCAGGCGGGCUCCAUAGCUUUCUUGUUACUCUUGGA